UCCCUGGUGGUCCAGUGGCUAAGACUCCUCACUCCCAAUGCGGAGAGCCUGGGUUCGAUUCCUGGUCAGGGAA
rnacentral:tRNA from 1 species